ACGUUACGGACGCAAUUUCUACAAGGAGGCAUAGGCUGGAAAGUGCCAAAAAACAGAAGCGCAAGUGCUGGGUGCGACCGAUAUUUCAGCUGGAAAGAAGACGAUUGCAAGGAGCAAGCGACAACUUGGUACUAGAAAUGCAAUUGAA